GGAGACAGUAAAGACUAGAGUGAUGACGGAUGUUUGGUAUAUGAGAGCAAGCUCAGUGCUUGCAGGCAUAAGGCCUGUCUCAAUUCAAUAAGGAUUUUAGGAUCCAAGAGAAAUUUCUGACCCAAAUGCCUACCUGAAUGGUGGGACCUGAUAUUGGCUAUAAAUCCCAGAUACAAUGGCCAGACUACUACACAGAACACUUAUAACUGUGCAUAUCAAGAUGAUGGAGCUGAUAGAAGCUGCAUAUUCAGUUUUUUGUGCCUGGUUAAAGAAAGGUAAUAUAUAAGUGAGUGUUUCCUCCCACUGUGUGUUUUAGGGCUCUUACACAUGGGUAGGGAUGGGCAAAUU